UACAGGGGGGUGCAAACGUUGCUCGGAAUCAUUGGGCGUAAAGGGCUCGUAGGCGGUUUGUCGCGUCGGGAGUGAAAACCCCAGGGCUUAACUCUGGGCUUGCUUUCGAUACGGGCAGACUAGAGGUAUGCAGGGGAGAACGGAAUUCCUGGUGUAGCGGUGAAAUGCGCAGAUAUCAGGAGGAACACCGGUGGCGAAGGCGGGUCUCUGGGCCGAUAUCGACGCUGAGGAGCGAAAGCGUGGGGAGCGAACAGG
rnacentral:rRNA from 1 species